rnacentral:rRNA from 1 species
UACGUAGGGUGCGAGCGUUGUCCGGAAUUAUUGGGCGUAAAGAGCUCGUAGGCGGUGUGUCACGUCGAUCGUGAAAACUUGGGGCUUAACUCUGAGCUUGCGGUCGAUACGGGCAUCACUGGAGUUCGGCAGGGGAGACUGGAAUUCCUGGUGUAGCGGUGAAAUGCGCAGAUAUCAGGAGGAACACCGGUGGCGAAGGCGGGUCUCUGGGCCGAUACUGACGCUGAGGAGCAGAAAGCGUGGGGAGCGAACAGG